CAGCCUGAGCUUCUCCUCGGCAAAGGGAAGCUGCAUGUCUUCAUCGCGGAUCGUCAGGCUGCCGCCGACACUUGCGCGUUAUGGAAGCGCAGCGGACCCGAUUUCAUGCUGCAUGUCCCAGAGACGUGGGUACAUGGGAGGAUCAAUGAAAAGAUUCACUGAUAGUAUGAGGCUCGUCCCACGUGUUUCGCCGUCCGGGAGAUAUGCAUCGUGUUUUUCGGGAGUUGACAUGUGUGGCUGACCUCCACAGCAACAGCUCCUACUGCAUGAAUUGUCAUUACGUGGUGAAUGUCUGGAUGAGUUCACUGAAGCAUAUCAGUGAAUAAGUUUGCGUGUGACGCUCUGUGUAUUAAGUGUGCACAAGCUACUGUAUGUGCGAUUGUCUGAGUAACUGUGUGACACGAUGUGGGUGCUGGUGAAUAUGAAUUCGCGAGUCAAUAAAAUGUCUGCAUCUGCUUGUUUA